UCUAAUUUCAGGAUUGUGCAAAGGAAGGCAUACAUAAGCAAGAGCAAGCCUUGGCCUACCUUGAAACAAAGGUGAAGAGGUUCAGUUUUGCUGGUGCUUCAUCUGAGAAUGACGGUAGAGUAAUGACUGUUCUUCAAGAUGUGUUUCUUGCUAAUGUUGAGGUGUGUCAGGACAAUUUUCGUCCAAAAUGCAUAUAUGUUGCUGUCAUGUUGAGAAGGAUAAUGGAUGCAAUUUUAAACAAGGAUGCAAUGGAUGACAAGGUAGUUAA